AGACCUACCAAACUACAUUUUAAAUUAUUGUCCCAUGCUUUAUUUAUUUAAUUACAUAAAUGUAUGUCACAUUUAUGACCAUUUUUGUCCAGUUUUGGAGCCGUGACAGAAAGUAUGUCAUGUACGAAGUGGAUAUUCAGAAAGUUGUGGCGUCUCCCAGCUGUUCCCCUUUGAUAAUGGCUUUUAAAUGAUGAAUAGCAGUCAGUUUGUGUAGAGAUAUAAUGAGGAGAGCAAGCCGUCCUGAUUCAGGAGAAGAACUGGGACAGGUGUCUGGGCCCUGCCCCAAACGGCACACUUGAUGUGGACUUUGCACAUGUCUGUGAAGCCUACAAAUCGGUACAGUGUUCUAUUUUGCCUGUCUAUUUUCAAUCAUUGCAGAUGAGAGUUUUUAAUGGAGAAAAAAAAAGAGCAUUUACUUGAAAAACAAGGUUAUUACUGAAUAGACCUCAAGCAGCAGUGCCAGAUGGUCCUAAUAGAGUUUGAGAGCUUCGAGGAUGUUGUUUUGUUUUGUUUUGUUUUGUUUUGUUUUUCAAACCUUUGGGGUUGACAGGAAAUCAGGAUUGAGGUGAUAAGUGAGGCUGAGGGAGUGUUUUGUUUGAAUCAAGUUGUUUUGUACAAGGAAAAAAAGCUAUUUCACUUGACCACUGGAGCCAAAGUAAGUUAAUUAAGACUGAUGGUCCAAGGGAAUUGGAUCACAAUGUAAAAUCAAGCUUUGUUUCUUCAGAAUCUCAGUAGGGGUAAAACUGAAAAUAUGUAAAUGGUGCAGCAAUUGAAUGUCACGGUUUAGCUCCGUCUAUCAAUUUAAGGUGUUUUUAUUUCAAGCUCUUCACUGACACUAUUGUCUCCUUGGUAAACAAGUACACUUACUUUUUAAAUUAUUG